rnacentral:rRNA from 1 species
AUAACGACUCUCGGCAACGGAUAUCUCGGCUCUUGCAUCGAUGAAGAACGUAGCGAAAUGCGAUACUUGGUGUGAAUUGCAUAAUCCCGUGAACCAUCGAGUCUUUGAACGCAAGUUGCGCCCGAAGCCAUCAGGUUGAGGGCACGUCUGCCUGGGCGUCACGC